rnacentral:rRNA from 1 species
GACGAACGUUGGCGGCGUGCCUAAUACAUGCAAGUAGAACGCUGAAGGAGGAGCUUGCUUCUCUGGAUGAGUUGCGAACGGGUGAGUAACGCGUAGGUAACCUGCCUGGUAGCGGGGGAUAACUAUUGGAAACGAUAGCUAAUACCGCAUAAUAGCAGUUAUUGCAUGGUAACUGUUUAAAAGGUGCAAUUGCAUCACUACCAGAUGGACCUGCGUUGUAUUAGCUAGUUGGUGGGGUAAAGGCUCACCAAGGCGACGAUACAUAGCCGACCUGAGAGGGUGAUCGGCCACACUGGGACUGAGACACGGCCCAGACUCCUACGGGAGGCAGCAGUAGGGAAUCUUCGGCAAUGGACGGAAGUCUGACCGAGCAACGCCGCGUGAGUGAAGAAGGUUUUCGGAUCGUAAAGCUCUGUUGUAAGAGAAGAACGAUGUGCGAGAGUGGAUUUUUUCACACCU